CGACGCCGCGUGAGGGAAGAAGGCCUUCGGGUUGUAAACCUCUUUCAGCAGGGACGAAGCUACUCGGGUGAACAGCCCAGAGGGUGACGGUACCUGUAGAAGAAGCCCCGGCUAACUACGUGCCAGCAGCCGCGGUAAUACGUAGGGGGCAAGCGUUGUCCGGAUUUACUGGGCGUAAAGAGCGUGUAGGCGGCCAGGCAGGUCUGUUGUGAAAACUGGAGGCUCAACUUCCAGACGUCGACAGAAACCGCUUGGCUAGAGUCCGGAAGAGGAGAGUGGAAUUCCUGGUGUAGCGGUGAAAUGCGCAGAUAUCAGGAAGAACACCAAUGGCGAAGGCAGCUCUCUGGGACGGUACUGACGCUGAGACGCGAAAGCGUGGGGAGCGAACAGGAUUAGAUACCCUGGUAGUCCACGCCGUAAACGAUGGGUGCUAGGUGUGGGAGGUGUCGACUCCUUCCGUGCCGCAGCUAACGCAUUAAGCACCCCGCCUGGGGAGUACGGCCGCAAGGCUA
rnacentral:rRNA from 1 species